rnacentral:rRNA from 1 species
UAGGGAAUAUUGCACAAUGGGCGAAAGCCUGAUGCAGCAACGCCGCGUGCGCGAAGAAGGCCUUCGGGUUGUAAAGCGCUUUUCUGGGAGAUGAGGAAGGACAGUAUCCCAGGAAUAAGGCUCGGCUAACUGCGUGCCAGCAGCCGCGGUAAAACGUAGGAGCCAAGCGUUAUCCGAAUUCACUGGGCGUAAAGCGCGUGCAGGCGGCCUGAUAAGUUGGAUGUGAAAUCUCCUGGCUCAACUGGGAGAGGCCGUUCAAUACUGUUGGGCUCGAGGGCGACGAGAGGGAGUGGAAUUCCGGGUGUAGUGGUGAAAUGCGUAGAUAUCCGGAGGAACACCAGAGGCGAAGGCGACCUCCUGGGUCGUACCUGACGCUCAGACGCGAAAGCUAGGGGAGCGAAC